rnacentral:rRNA from 3 species
AAUACAUGCAAGUAGAACGCUGAAGAGAGGAGCUUGCUCUUCUUGGAUGAGUUGCGAACGGGUGAGUAACGCGUAGGUAACCUGCCUUGUAGCGGGGGAUAACUAUUGGAAACGAUAGCUAAUACCGCAUAACAAUGGAUGACACAUGUCAUUUAUUUGAAAGGGGCAAUUGCUCCACUACAAGAUGGACCUGCGUUGUAUUAGCUAGUAGGUGAGGUAACGGCUCACCUAGGCGACGAUACAUAGCCGACCUGAGAGGGUGAUCGGCCACACUGGGACUGAGACACGGCCCAGACUCCUACGGGAGGCAGCAGUAGGGAAUCUUCGGCAAUGGGGGCAACCCUGACCGAGCAACGCCGCGUGAGUGAAGAAGGUUUUCGGAUCGUAAAGCUCUGUUGUAAGUCAAGAACGAGUGUGAGAGUGGAAAGUUCACACUGUGACGGUAGCUUACCAGAAAGGGACGGCUAACUACGUGCCAGCAGCCGCGGUAAUACGUAGGUCCCGAGCGUUGUCCGGAUUUAUUGGGCGUAAAGCGAGCGCAGGCGGUUUGAUAAGUCUGAAGUUAAAGGCUGUGGCUCAACCAUAGUUCGCUUUGGAAACUGUCAAACUUGAGUGCAGAAGGGGAGAGUGGAAUUCCAUGUGUAGCGGUGAAAUGCGUAGAUAUAUGGAGGAACACCGGUGGCGAAAGCGGCUCUCUGGUCUGUAACUGACGCUGAGGCUCGAAAGCGUGGGGAGCGAACAGGAUUAGAUACCCUGGUAGUCCACGCCGUAAACGAUGAGUGCUAGGUGUUGGAUCCUUUCCGGGAUUCAGUGCCGCAGCUAACGCAUUAAGCACUCCGCCUGGGGAGUACGACCGCAAGGUUGAAACUCAAAGGAAUUGACGGGGGCCCGCACAAGCGGUGGAGCAUGUGGUUUAAUUCGAAGCAACGCGAAGAACCUUACCAGGUCUUGACAUCCCGAUGCUAUUUCUAGAGAUAGAAAGUUACUUCGGUACAUCGGUGACAGGUGGUGCAUGGUUGUCGUCAGCUCGUGUCGUGAGAUGUUGGGUUAAGUCCCGCAACGAGCGCAACCCCUAUUGUUAGUUGCCAUCAUUCAGUUGGGCACUCUAGCGAGACUGCCGGUAAUAAACCGGAGGAAGGUGGGGAUGACGUCAAAUCAUCAUGCCCCUUAUGACCUGGGCUACACACGUGCUACAAUGGUUGGUACAACGAGUUGCGAGUCGGUGACGGCAAGCUAAUCUCUUAAAGCCAAUCUCAGUUCGGAUUGUAGGCUGCAACUCGCCUACAUGAAGUCGGAAUCGCUAGUAAUCGCGGAUCAGCACGCCGCGGUGAAUACGUUCCCGGGCCUUGUACACACCGCCCGUCACACCACGAGAGUUUGUAACACCCGAAGUCGGUGAGGUAACCUUUUGGAGCCAGCC